UGCCUGCGUGAGGUUUGGUGGCAAGAAGCAGAAGUCAGAGCCUGUGGUUCCUGUUGCUCUUCGGCGGUAUGAAAGAGAGAAGAAGGCGUGCUUCAUUAUAUGAAGCUUUGCUCCUAAGGUGGAGUCUUGCUGCAUCACCAAGGCUGGAGUGCACUGGCACAAUCUCGGCUCACUGCAACCUCCUCCUCCCAGGUUCAAACAAUUCUGUCUCAGCCUCCCAAGUAGCUGGGACUACAGGUGCCUGCCACCACGCCUGGCUGAUUUUUGUAUUUUUAGUAGAGACAGGGUUUCACCUUGUUGGUCAGGCUGGUCUCAAACUCCUAACCUCAAGUGAUCCACCCGCGUCGGCCUCCCAAAGUGCUGAGAUUACAGGCGUGAGCCACCGUGCCCCACCAAUGCUACUGAUUUUUGUAUCCUGCAACUUUACCAAAUUCAUUUUUUUGGUUCUAAAUGUUUUUUGUGGAUCUUUGAGGCCUUCUACAUAAAGGAUAAUAUCUCAAAUAGGGAUAAUUUUGCUUCAUCUUUCUGAAUUUAGAUGCCUUUUUU
rnacentral:lncRNA from 1 species